rnacentral:rRNA from 1 species
UACGUAGGGUGCAAGCGUUGUCCGGAAUUAUUGGGCGUAAAGAGCUCGUAGGCGGUUUGUCGCGUCUGCUGUGAAAACCCGAGGCUCAACCUCGGGCCUGCAGUGGGUACGGGCAGACUAGAGUGCGGUAGGGGAGAUUGGAAUUCCUGGUGUAGCGGUGAAAUGCGCAGAUAUCAGGAGGAACACCGAUGGCGAAGGCAGGUCUCUGGGCCGAUACUGACGCUGAGGAGCGAAAAGCGUGGGGAGCGAACAGG